UACGUAGGGGGCAAGCGUUGUCCGGAUUUAUUGGGCGUAAAGAGCGUGUAGGCGGCUAGGUAGGUCCGUUGUGAAAACUCGAGCUCAACCUCGAGACGCCGGUGGAAACCAUCUAGCUAGAGUCCGGAAGAGGAGAGUGGAAUUCCUGGUGUAGCGGUGAAAUGCGCAGAUAUCAGGAAGAACACCCGUGGCGGAAGGCGGCUCUCUGGGACGUGACUGGACGCUGAGGAGCGAAAGCGUGGGGAGCGAACAGG
rnacentral:rRNA from 1 species